AUCAGAAGAUCCUUACCCAAAGAAACGGCUUGGUUAUGAAGUUCUGGUGAAGUGGACGCUUCGGUUCGAGGCAUCAACCAGCAAUGUAGUGGAGGAGACUAAUGACACACUGCCAAUCCCGAUAUGCGUGACACUGUGACGCGGCAACACAUACAGAAGAUCCCACUAUAUCAGAUCACAGCUGUGCUGUCAGUGCACCAUUUGACCUGCCCCUUCUGUGUAAUCAGGCAAAACAGUAUACUAAUCCAAAAUAUAUUAAUGGGUGACAGAAGAAGCCCACUCAGACACCUUGAAGUACACGAGGGUUUAGAGUGGAUUUGUUUAUUGUGGUCGUUUGCUGUUUAUUCAUGUAUUUUGACCUUUAUUUCAUCAGACCACUCUUGAUUUGUUGUUUGCCCUUUUCUUGGAUACAUCUGCCACUGUAUAUAUAUCUUGUACAUAGUCAUAAAUUUGUAUAUUUAAUUGUCUUGUGUACAACUAUUGCCUUUAUGUGUGCAGUCACUUGUGUAUAUUCCAAACUGCCGCUUAGCGUACCAUCUCAGAGUGCGGGAAUUUGGAUGAAACCCUUCCUGCAUUGUGAGGAGUUCCCUGGUCUUGAUGUCAGUGGGUUCUGUCUCGUCCUUUGGCCAGCUGAUAAUGCUAGGUGUAAAGGUGGGUCUUGCUAGUGAGGACAAUCCUGAAUAGAGGAGUAUAUGAUCUGCUCACUUCUCCUCUGUGACACUGCUGGAAGCGUCUGACUGCCAGCUCCUCGAUGGCCUCACCUCAAGAAAAGAAAGAUAAAAUGGCAUUUCAGCAUCAGCGUGAGCUUCCACCAGACUCCUAUGUCAGAGAACUGAAUUGCCCCAAUCCUGUUGAUGCGGUGAUGAGUGUGCUUGAAACUCGGCAGCUGAGAGUCCUAACGAGGUGCCCACUGAGGGUGGGCCUCAGUUGUGCUAACUCCACUUACCAUUAUGAAAAGCAUCACUGCUGAAUGAGAAAAGGGACCUUGGGACUUUGACAUUCUACAGUACUUUAGCCAGGUGUACAGGCUUCUGUCAUCAAUCAUCACGUAAAUGGAAACACACGUUGACAAGUUAAUUUAUAGAUCGACUCAUGGUUAGUCUAAAAAGUAUAAGUCCAUGUACAGACUUGGGUUAUUUUACACUACAUGUUAGGGUUCUAGUCUAUCCUUUUAUGUGGUUUCAGGUAGAUGGCUGCAAAAUACAUACAUUCAAAAUUCAUCUUUAUUUUCAGGAUGUUUGCUACUGUAAACAGUAUAUUUGUAUUUUACUUGGCAUGCAAUAGUGUUUUUAAUAACAUACUUGUAAAAACAACAGUAAUGAAACUUAAACCAAAAUACAUAUCAGAUAUUUUAUGUCUAGUUAUAUUAAUUACAAACUUAUAAAGACACAGUGGUAUUCACUAUCACACUGGUUACGUACAAAGGUUCAAGGAGGAGUUUAUUGAAUUUAGUAUAGGUUCAAUUUCUCAAUUAUGUAAUAGAAUUCAUACCUGUUAACCAAUCUGUAAAUCAAAUAUGAAUACAGCUGGUGGAAAGCCUGCAGAAUUUGAUUACUAACCAGACAUGCAGGUUUCUUAUAACAUCAAAAGAGUCUGUUGUUGGGAGACGGAUUGUAGCUCCCUUGUAGCAGCUGACUUGAACUCCCUCUGGGGAUCAGAGGCGGGUGGGUAGUGACAUUAGCAGGAUGAGCUCAGGGUUUUCAGGAUACUUAAACGCUGGGGGAUGUGGGAUAAAAGGACCUGGCCAAAGCCGGGGAGGGGAACAUGCCGAGUGGCCUGCAGAUAAUCCUAUAGCCUC